rnacentral:rRNA from 1 species
AAUCGAACUCGGAGAUAGCUGGUUCUCCCCGAAAUAGCUUUAGGGCUAGCCUCAUGUUAGAUAUCCGGAGGUAAAGCACUGAAUGGCCUAGCGUCCGAGAGGAUAGCGAAGCCUAUCAAACUAAGAAUGCCGGAAUAUUGAUGCAUGGGAGUCAGACAGUGUGAGAUAAAUCUCAUUGUCAAAAGGGAAACAGCCCAGAUCUACAGCUAAGGUCCCAAAUUGUAUCUAAGUGGAAAACGAUGUGGAAAUACGCAGACAACCAGGAUGUUGGCUCAGAAGCAGCCACUCAUUUAAAGAGUGCGUAAUAGCUCACUGGUCGAGCGUCUCUGCGCGGAAAAUUUAACGGGGCUAAGAUACAAACCGAAGCUUAGGCUGCACUUUUAGUGCGGGGUAGGGGAGCGUUGUGUAAGCGGAGAAACAGUAGCGGAAGCGGCUGUGGAGUUUACAGAAGUGAGAAUGCCGGAAUGAGUAGCGCGAAUGAUGUGAGAAUCAUCAUGGCCGGAAACCUCAGGUUUUUGGAGGAAGGUUCGUCCGCUCCAAGUUAGGCGGGAGCUAAGGUGAGGCCGAAAGGCGUAGCCGAUGCACAGACGGUAGAGAUUCCGUCACCACCAAAAGAGUUAAGCACAGGGACACAUAUGAAGUCUCGGAGCCGGGUGUUGGUUCCGGUAGCGAUCGAGGGAAGUUAGUACCGAAGUCCGGGAUGGAAGAUGGCGAGAAAAGCUGUGUGUAUUUCUGCGGUGCCCGUACCGCAAACCGACACAGGUAGGUAGGAAGAAGAUUCUAAGGCCAACGGGAGAAGGGUUGUUAAGGAACUCGGCAAGUUGACCCCGUAACUUCGGAAUAAGGGGUGCUCAUGAAAGUGAGCCGCAGAGAAUAGGCCCAGGCAACUGUUUACCAAAAACACAGGUUUGUGCUAAAUCGAAAGAUGACGUAUACGAGCUGACGCCUGCCCGGUGCUGGAAGGUUAAGAGGAGAUGUGCAAGCAUUGAAUCGAAGCCCCAGUGAACGGCGGCCGUAACUAUAACGGUCCUAAGGUAGCGAAAUUCCUUGUCAGGUAAGUUCUGACCCGCACGAAAGGCGUAAUGAUUUGGGCACUGUCUCAACAGCCCGCCCGGCGAAAUUGUAGUACCGGUGAAGAUGCCGGUUACCCGCGACAAGACGGAAAGACCCCAUGGAGCUUUACUGUAGCCUAAUAUUGGGUUUCGAUGUUGCAUGCACAGGAUAGAUGGGACACUGGGAAACAGGAGCUUUGGCUUCUGCGGAGUGGCCGUUGGGAUACCAUCCUUGCGAUAUUGGAAUUCUAACCUGCGGCUCUGAAUCGAGUCGGGGGACAUUGUUAGGUGGGCAGUUUGACUGGGGCGGUCGCCUCCUAAAGAGUAACGGAGGCGUUCAAAGGUUCGCUCAGCUUGAACGGAAAUCAAGCAAAAGAGUGCAAACGCAGAAGCGAGCCUAACUGCGAGACUGACGGGUCGAGCAGUAACGAAAGUUGGAGUUAGUGAUCCGGUGGUAUGUGAGUGGAAAUGCCAUCGCUCAACGGAUAAAAGCUACCCUGGGGAUAACAGGCUGAUCUCCCCCAAGAGUCCACAUCGACGGGGAGGUUUGGCACCUCGAUGUCGGCUCAUCGCAUCCUGGGGCUGUAUUCGGUCCCAAGGGUUUGGCUGUUCGCCAAUUAAAGCGGUACGCGAGCUGGGUUCAGAACGUCGUGAGACAGUUCGGUCCCUAUCUGUCGUGGGCGCAGGAUAUUUGAUGGGAGCUGUUCCUAGUACGAGAGGACCGGAGCGGACGUACCUCUGGCGCACCAGUUGUUCUGCCAAGGGCAUAGCUGGGCAACUAUGUACGGAUCGGAUAAACGCUGAAAGCAUCUAAGCGUGAAGCCGACCCAAAGAUAAGAUAUCCCAUUGU